rnacentral:tRNA from 1 species
AAUACAGUGCUUGAGAGGUCUAAAAGGUUAUACUUGAAAUAUAAUGAUUAAUAAUCGCAAAGGUUCGAAUCCUUUCUGUAUUA